rnacentral:rRNA from 1 species
AUGCGGCCGCGAAUCGCCCUUAGAGUUUGAUCCUGGCUCAGGACGAACGCUGGCGGCGUGCUUAACACAUGCAAGUCGAACGGAAAGGCCCUGCUUUUGUGGGGUGCUCGAGUGGCGAACGGGUGAGUAACACGUGAGUAACCUGCCCUUGACUUUGGGAUAACUUCAGGAAACUGGGGCUAAUACCGGAUAGGAGCUCCUGCUGCAUGGUGGGGGUUGGAAAGUUUCGGCGGUUGGGGAUGGACUCGCGGCUUAUCAGCUUGUUGGUGGGGUAGUGGCUUACCAAGGCUUUGACGGGUAGCCGGCCUGAGAGGGUGACCGGCCACAUUGGGACUGAGAUACGGCCCAGACUCCUACGGGAGGCAGCAGUGGGGAAUAUUGCACAAUGGGCGGAAGCCUGAUGCAGCAACGCCGCGUGCGGGAUGACGGCCUUCGGGUUGUAAACCGCUUUCGCCUGUGACGAAGCGUGAGUGACGGUAAUGGGUAAAGAAGCACCGGCUAACUACGUGCCAGCAGCCGCGGUGAUACGUAGGGUGCGAGCGUUGUCCGGAUUUAUUGGGCGUAAAGGGCUCGUAGGUGGUUGAUCGCGUCGGAAGUGUAAUCUUGGGGCUUAACCCUGAGCGUGCUUUCGAUACGGGUUGACUUGAGGAAGGUAGGGGAGAAUGGAAUUCCUGGUGGAGCGGUGGAAUGCGCAGAUAUCAGGAGGAACACCAGUGGCGAAGGCGGUUCUCUGGGCCUUUCCUGACGCUGAGGAGCGAAAGCGUGGGGAGCGAACAGGCUUAGAUACCCUGGUAGUCCACGCUGUAAACGGUGGGUACUAGGUGUGGGGUCCAUUCCACGGGUUCCGUGCCGUAGCUAACGCUUUAAGUACCCCGCCUGGGGAGUACGGCCGCAAGGCUAAAACUCAAAGGAAUUGACGGGGCCCCGCACAAGCGGCGGAGCAUGCGGAUUAAUUCGAUGCAACGCGUAGAACCUUACCUGGGUUUGACAUGGAUCGGGAGUGCUCAGAGAUGGGUGUGCCUCUUUUGGGGUCGGUUCACAGGUGGUGCAUGGCUGUCGUCAGCUCGUGUCGUGAGAUGUUGGGUUAAGUCCCGCAACGAGCGCAACCCUUGUUCACUGUUGCCAGCACGUUAUGGUGGGGACUCAGUGGAGACCGCCGGGGUCAACUCGGAGGAAGGUGGGGAUGACGUCAAGUCAUCAUGCCCCUUAUGUCCAGGGCUUCACGCAUGCUACAAUGGCUGGUACAGAGAGUGGCGAGCCUGUGAGGGUGAGCGAAUCUCGGAAAGCCGGUCUCAGUUCGGAUUGGGGUCUGCAACUCGACCUCAUGAAGUCGGAGUCGCUAGUAAUCGCAGAUCAGCAACGCUGCGGUGAAUACGUUCCCGGGGCUUGUACACACCGCCCGUCAAGUCAUGAAAGUUGGUAACACCCGAAGCCGGUGGCCUAACCGUUGUGGGGGAGCCGUCGAAGGUGGGACUGGUGAUUAGGACUAAGUCGUAACAAGGUAACC